rnacentral:rRNA from 1 species
AGUGAACGCUGGCGGUAGGCCUAACACAUGCAAGUCGAACGGCAGCACAGUAAGAGCUUGCUCUUACGGGUGGCGAGUGGCGGACGGGUGAGGAAUACAUCGGAAUCUACUUUUUCGUGGGGGAUAACGUAGGGAAACUUACGCUAAUACCGCAUACGACCUACGGGUGAAAGCAGGGGAUCUUCGGACCUUGCGCGAUUGAAUGAGCCGAUGUCGGAUUAGCUAGUUGGCGGGGUAAAGGCCCACCAAGGCGACGAUCCGUAGCUGGUCUGAGAGGAUGAUCAGCCACACUGGAACUGAGACACGGUCCAGACUCCUACGGGAGGCAGCAGUGGGGAAUAUUGGACAAUGGGCGCAAGCCUGAUCCAGCCAUACCGCGUGCGUGAAGAAGGCCUUCGGGUUGUAAAGCCCUUUUGUUGGGAAAGAAAAGCAGGAGGUUAAUACCCCGCUGUUCUGACGGUACCCAAAGAAUAAGCACCGGCUAACUUCGUG